AAUGGCCUUAUGGCUGAACCAGUAACUUAGAGGAAUGUAUAAUGAUUAACUUAUAUAAAAUUCUAGGCAUAAUAAUAAUGAUGACUAUUUUUUGUCUAUAAGUAUUGACCAAAUUACGUGCCAGCCGUCGCGGUAAUACGUAGAAUACAAGUGUUAUUCGUCUUUAUUAGGUUUAAAGGGUACCUAGACAGAAAAUAAAGCCAUAAUAGGGACUAAUUUUCUAGAGUUUUAUAAAAGAAAAAAGAAUUAUUAGAAGAGAGAUGAAAUUUAAUGAAACUAAUAGGACUGGUAACAGCGAAGGCAUUUUUCUAUGUAAAAACUGACGUUGAGGGACGAAGCCUAGGGUAACGAUAAGGAUUAGAUACCCUAAUAGUCCUAGGAGAAAAUUAUGAAUGCCAUAGGCUAGAAAUAUUGGUCUAUAAAUGAAAGUGCAAGCAUUCCACCUUACAAGUAAAGCGGCAACGCCGAAACUGAAAUCAUUAGACCGUUACUGAAAACAGUAGUGAAGUAUGUUAUUUAAUUCGAUGAUCCGCGAAUAACCUUACCACAAUUUGAAUAUUAUUACAAGUGCUGCACGGCUGUCUUCAGCUUAUGUCGUGAGAUUAUGGUUAGAUCCAUUAAUAAGCGUAAACCCUUGCUUUAUUUAAACUAAUUUAUAAAAAAGAAAGGAAAAGGUUCUUUUUUUUUUUUAAGUUUCAUAUAGCAGUUAGCCACUAUAUUGGUAUUAUAAAAGGGAUUAAGACAAGUCAUCAUGGCCUUAAUAUUGUGGGCUAUAGACGUGCCACAUUUGCCUUUACAAAGGGAUGCAAUAUUGCGAAAUAGAGCUAAUCCUUAAAACUGGACAUAACUAAUCGU
rnacentral:rRNA from 1 species